UACGAAGGGGGCUAGCGUUGUUCGGAAUUACUGGGCGUAAAGCGCGCGCAGGCGGCUAUCCAAGUCAGUGGUGAAAGCCCGGAGCUCAACUCCGGAACUGCCAUUGAAACUGUUUAGCUUGAGGACGAGAGAGGUGAGUGGAAUUCCCAGUGUAGAGGUGAAAUUCGUAGAUAUUGGGAAGAACACCGGUGGCGAAGGCGGCCUGCUGGGAUCUUGCUGACGCUGAGGCGCGACAGCGUGGGGAGCAAACAGG
rnacentral:rRNA from 1 species